rnacentral:rRNA from 1 species
GACGUAGGGCGCGAGCGUUGUCCGGAUUUAUUGGGCGUAAAGAGCUCGUAGGCGGUGUAGCAAGUCGGGAGUGAAAUCUCUGGGCUUAACCCAGAGGCUGCUUCCGAAACUGCUGUGCUUGAGUGUGGGAGAGGCGCGUGGAAUUGCAGGUGUAGCGGUGAAAUGCGUAGAUAUCUGCAGGAACACCCGUGGCGAAAGCGGCGCGCUGGACCACUACUGACGCUGAGGAACGAAAGCUAGGGGAGCAAACAGG